AAGAUCUGAAAUUCAUUAACUUGGUGGGUAAUGUGUCUGAUCCUUUGGGAUUGGUAGAACUUUUUAUAUGAUGAAUAAGAUUUUCAGUAAUCCUCAUCAUAUUUGACUUGGCUGUCUGGGUGGAAGCUCAAGGCUGGGUUGCUAUAAGGGAACUGUAUUUCUGGCUUCUGGGUAACCAGUAAGGUAUUGGGGAAGCUAUUUUGUUGCUGGCUUGGUGAAUCUAAGUAUUAGAAUAACUGCCAGUUUGGGGGAUUGUCUGCCCCAUUCUUGGCAUUUUGCCCUAAUUGAGCAGCUGCAGCAUGGCCCCCUCAGUCACAUGAUUAUAAAAAUGUGCUUUGUGUUUAGACUUUAUGGAAUGCUUGUAAGUUGCUGUAUGUGUUAACCUCGCUUAUAGCUGUAGUCCAUGUUGUAAGGUAAUAUUUAAGUGUUUGCUCUGUAACUGUAAAUCUCCAGUCAGGAGAGAAGCAUUAUUGAGUGUGAAAUACUUGUUUGCCUCAGGAGGUGUCAUGUCCUACCCAACACAAGAAGGCCCAUCGACACCAGACAAACCAUUGUGGAACAUCAGAGGACAAAAGACUUUGUUGAUUGCUCCCCUGUCUUCCAUGAAGAGGAGACUGAAUUCCUUGCAACAGCUGAACUUUCACCUUGCUGCAGAAGGGGAGAAGGUAAAAAAGGCCUUAACAAGGAGAAACUGGAUCUUUAAUGCUAUUUGCACUCUGAGGGGCACAGAUUAUUAAGGAAAAGUAAAAAAAAAAUUCCCAGUACUUGGCCUGGGAUAGUCCUAAAGGACAUAUAGCACUUGCUUAUUAUAGAUGCUUGUAUUACUACUUGAGACUUAAGAGUGGAAGCAUUUGUGUAUGUAUGUUUACAGGCUUAUUUCCUUUUCCUAGUUAAUAAAUCUUUAGAGUUUAUUAUGAGAUUGACCACAAGUGUUGUCUGUGGUGUGAGAUCUAAGGUGCAAUGGACAUGGGGUAAGUGACUGGUCUUUUGGGACUGGAAGUAACCUGAAUAUUGCUGUGAUCAUUGGUAUAAAGGACUAUCUAUCAUGAAGGUAAGCUUACCUGCAUGGCACGUACCCAAGGGGACUGUCUGUGAUUCCAUGUUAAGGCCAUUAUAGUGCUUGUGGAGUUCCCACUUGAUGAUUGGUCAGUGAAAUCUAAAUAUAGAAGUCACCACCCAGUUGGAGUUUGUACCCUAGGGGUGGUACUCCGGCUCUCGAGCCACUGCAGAGACAAAAGACUGUUUGCAGUAUAACAGAGGGGAAGGGCACUCUGUAUCCUUGAACUGAAGAGACAUCCUGAGCAGCUGGGGUGAGCUCAUGAAAAGUUGGAUCCUGGUUCCUAUGAAGUCAGCUAGCUCUGCAAGAGAUUGAAGUUUGGGGGUGGGAGAAACCUACUUUGUUAGCUAGAAAAGGUAGCUUUUAAUAAGUGUAUAUUCAGGUUUGUGUUUUAUCAUUUUGUUUUGUAUUGUAACCUUUUGUUUCCAUCACUCUCUCUGUUGUUUCUAGUUAAAUACAUAAAUAAACUGUUUUUAUUACAAGUGUUGUACAGGAAUGGGGGGAGGUUAAGGUAAAACUAGUAAACUGGGGUGCACUGCUCCUAAGGGGGCAGAGGAUCUGGGAUUUCUGUGAGUAGCCAGUGUCAGGGGCUGGAUAUCACAAGGUAAUGUUUCAAAGGGACUCGGGCUGGGGUGCACCUCUUGUAAACCUGCAAAGUGAAGUCAGGACUGGCACACCCAAGAGGAGAGUGCUUGGGUGGCUGACAGGCUGGUUAUGUUAGGGAGCUGACCCCCAGUUACCAAGACUCCCUCACCCUAGAAGCAGGGCUAACGAGUUGACUCAGGCCGGGAUACCCCAGGAACCAGCCCAGUGGUGUAGUCAGUAUGAUCUUUACCCUGCUUGCUAGCUAACCACAGCCCAUGCUCACAGUGCUUAUAAACCGGUGACCGAGAGCCUAGAGAGUGUGAAGGUUGGAAAGAGGGGAAGAAAGGGUUACUUUCUGUUGUCUGUGUGUUUGUUUCAGGUUAGGGAAUAGAGUGGCAGAAAAGGCCGGAUGAGCAGAGAAAUACAUGCUAAUCACACCAAGAAGCAGUAGGAGGAGCUGUGUGCUCAGUGCUGGCUAUUUGCUGCAGGAAAAAAUAUGGCUGGGUUAAGACCCUCCUCAUGGAAUAUGCCAAGCCACAUGAAGGACAGCCGAAUUCCAGGUGAGCGUAAAGACUCAGGGAACCCAUGUGGUGCCACCACCACCAGUGUGACAGCCCUGGACCUGAACAAGGCCAGGGCAGAGCUCUGUAAAAUGGACCUAGCAGAAAAAGAGAAGGAGGGUGAGCAUCAACAGAGAAUGGAAGAAAUUGCAGCCAAAGAGAAUGAAGCAGCACAUCAGAGACAGCUGGAGCUGGAAGAAGCUGUAUGCCAGCAAUCCAUGGAGUUGGAGGAGCAAAAGUGUGAACCAAAAGAUCAUGAGCAAAAUGCUGGAGAGGUAUAUACUGAACCCCCAGACAGCAGGCAAUCCUCCAAAAGGGGCACCAGCUGGGACAGACUGUGCCUUACUCCCUGAUACAAUCCGUCUCUUUCUCUCCACUCUUGAAAGAAUAUAUGAACUGUACAAGAUUCCAGAGGAAAAGAGUGUACCCACGCUGAUCUCCAAGCUGACUGGUAGAGCAUUAGAAGUGAUUAAUGAGAUGGACAAGGGGCAGGCACUGAAAGGACAAGUUGAAACAAGCUGUGUUUCAAAGGUUUCAGAUCACCCCAGAGCUGUAUCGUUUAAGGUUCAGAACUCUCAAAAGCAUGACAAGGAACAUUUCCUGAGUAGAUGUAUGGAAGGAGUCAGAGCGCCGAUCUUUGAUAACCCCUCUGCCACUGUAUGGAGUAUAGCUGAUAUCAAGACUCCUACAUACAGGCCAGACUGUUCAGUGAGCACAGACUCCAGAAGGACGGGCAGAAGCCCAGAAUAAAAGGGGGACCCUGUUUUAUGUCUGGGAAAAGGGAGGGUAUGGUGGUGGGUCCAAGCACCCACCACCACAGAACUGAUCACCUCCCAGUAGUCAAAAUUACAGGCCUCUAGCACAGCAGGACGGCCCAAAAAAGUGCUUCUCAUCUGACUCUACUGAGCACAUGAAAAGAAAUUAUCCUAAGCAAGGGGUAUCCAAAUAUAAACCCUGUUGAGCCCAGGUUAAUGUGACAACUUUGGACUGAUGGGACCCUAGUCAAUGCUGUAAGGUCUGACCUAUUGGUGGUUGAUAAAGAGUUUAUUAAAGAUUCCAAGGUGAAUGCUAAGGUUUGCCAAGGUCGACGGGUCACUUACACCCAAAUUUCUCUGGUCAGAAAAGAUCUGGUUGUGGAAUCUGAUCUACUCCCCGAGGAAAAUGUAAAACUCCUUCCAUUGGGAAACUCUGAAAUCCGUGCAACCUUAGUUCAUUGGAGUGGGAAGGUUUAAUAGCUGCUAUACUGGAUAGACAAGGUGGAUGAGGUAAUGUCUUCUAUUGGACCAAUGUCUGCAGAUGAAAGAGACAAACUUUCGAGCUGUACAGAGCUCUUCUGCAGGGCUGGGAAAGGUGCUCGGGGUGUCUCAGCUGUCACUGCUGUACAGUAGAACCUCCCAUUUAUGAACAUUGACUUAAUAAAGCUUUGAAAUGUUACUAUUCAGAAAAAA